rnacentral:misc_RNA from 1 species
GAUGAAGAACGCAGUGAAAUGCGAUAAGUAAUGUGAAUUGCAGAAUUCAGUGAAUCAUCGAAUCUUUGAACGCACCUUGCGCCUUUUGGUAUUCCGAAAGGCACACCUGUUUGAGCGUCAUGAAUACCUCAAUCUCCAUCUUUUCUUCGGAUUGAUGGGUGACUUGGAUGUUGAGCCCGGCUGGUAUGCUAUAUCAGCUGGCUUUAAACUUAUUAGCCGGCUCUGUACUGGAUCGGUUUGACUCGACGUGAUAAUAUUAUCGUUGAGGAUGCAUGUCUCAUGCAGCCGGAAAGUAUCAAAGCAGCUUCUAGCUUGCCUUUAGUGCACUUUUACAUUUUAGACCUCAGAUCAGGUGGGACUACCCGCUGAACUUAAGCAUAUCAAUAAGCGGAGGA